rnacentral:rRNA from 1 species
AGGCUAGCGGCAGGCUAAUACAUGCAAGUCGAACGGCAGCGCGGGGCAACCUGGCGGCGAGUGGCGCACGGGUGAGUAACACGUACAUAACAUGCCUUUGAGAGGGGGAAAGUCACUGGAAACGGUGAAUAAUCCGCCAUAAGAUAUGAGCCUCGCAUGGGGUAAAUAUUAAAGGAGCGAUCUGCUCAAAGAUUGGUGUGCGUCUGAUUAGCUAGUUGGUGGGGUAAUGGCCCACCAAGGCGACGAUCAGUAGGGGGCGUGAGAGCGUGGCCCCCCACAUGGGUACUGAGACACGGACCCAACUCCUACGGGAGGCAGCAGUAAGGAAUAUUGGUCAAUGGGCGAAAGCCUGAACCAGCCAUGCCGCGUGCGGGAAGAAGGUUCUUAGAAUUGUAAACCGCUUUUGAUAGGGAAGAAUGGGCGAGAUUAAUCUUGCAAGAGACGGUACCUAUCGAAUAAGCACCGGCUAACUCCGUGCCAGCAGCCGCGGUAAUACGGAGGGUGCAAGCGUUAUCCGGAAUCACUGGGUUUAAAGGGUACGUAGGCGGCUCGUUAAGUCAUUAUUGAAAGGUCGUUGCUUAACAACGGACGUGGUAAAGAUACUGGCGAGCUAGAAUUAGACAGAGGUUGGCAGAAUGUGUCAUGUAGCGGUGAAAUGCAUAGAUAUGACAUAGAAUACCGAUAGCGAAGGCAGCUGACUGGGUCUAAAUUGACGCUGAGGUACGAAAGCGUGGGGAUCAAACAGGAUUAGAUACCCUGGUAGUCCACGCCGUAAACGAUGCUAACUGGGUGUAUGAUCGAAUAAGGGUUGUGCACCUGAGGGAAACCAUUAAGUUAGCCACCUGGGAAGUACGCCGGCAACGGUGAAACUCAAAUGAAUUGACGGAAGGGCGAAU